rnacentral:rRNA from 1 species
UGAGGAAUAUUGCGCAAUGGGGGAAACCCUGACGCAGCGAUGCCGCGUGGGUGAAGAAGGCCUUCGGGUCGUAAAGCCCUGUCAAGCGGGAAGAAUAGCCGGGGGACGAAUAAUCCCUCGGUGUGACGGUACCGCUGAAGGAAGCACCGGCUAACUCCGUGCCAGCAGCCGCGGUAAGACGGAGGGUGCGAGCGUUAUUCGGAUUUAUUGGGCGUAAAGAGCGUGUAGGCGGUCGAUCAAGCCAGAGGUGAAAGCCCGGGGCUUAACCUCGGAAGUGCCUUUGGAACUGGUCGACUUGAGUUCGGGAGAGGGAAGUGGAAUUCCGGGUGUAGAGGUGAAAUUCGUAGAUAUCCGGAGGAACACCGGUGGCGAAGGCGACUUCCUGGACCGAAACUGACGCUGAGACGCGAAAGCGUGGGGAGCAAACAGG